rnacentral:tRNA from 1 species
GCAGGCGUAGCUCAGUCGGAUAGAGCGGAGCAAGGCAAAUGUCGGGUUUCUGUCGCUGGUUCGAGUCCAGCCGCUUGCA